rnacentral:rRNA from 1 species
CCUACGGGAGGCAGCAGUAAGGAAUCUUCCACAAUGGACGAAAGUCUGAUGGAGCAACGCCGCGUGCAGGAUGAAGGCUUUCGGGUCGUAAACUGCUUUUAUAUGGGAAGAUUAUGACGGUACCAUAUGAAUAAGGACCGGCUAACUACGUGCCAGCAGCCGCGGUAAUACGUAGGGUCCAAGCGAUAUCCGGAAUUACUGGGCGUAAAGCGUGUGUAGGUGGAUUAAUAAGUGUGAUGCGAAAUCCGGCGGCUCAACCGUUUGGACUGUGUCGCAUACUGUUAGUCUAGAGGACGGCAGAGGUAAGUGGAAUUACGGGUGUAGCAGUGAAAUGCGUAGAUAUCCGUAGGAACACCAAUGGCGAAGGCAGCUUACUGGGCCACACCUGACACUGAGACACGAAAGCGUGGGGAGCGAACAGGAUUAGAUACCCUGGUAGUCCACGCCGUAAACGAUGCAUACUAUUAGUAUGGGGUAUCGACCCCCUGUGCUGAGAAGCUAACGCGAUAAGUAUGCCGCCUGGGGAGUACGAGCGCAAGCUUAAAACUCAAAGGAAUUGACGGCUGAGACNGCGAGACGACGACGAGGGAGAGG